rnacentral:rRNA from 1 species
UACGAAGGGGGGCUAGCGUUGCUCGGAAUCACUGGGCGUAAAGGGUGCGUAGGCGGGUCUUUUAAGUCAGGGGGUGAAAUCCUGGAGCUCAACUCCAGAACUGCCUUUGAUACUGAAGAUCUUGAGUUCGGGGAGAGGUGAGUGGAACUGCGAGUGUAGAGGUGAAAUUCGUAGAUAUUCGCAAGAACACCAGUGGCGAAGGCGGCUCACUGGCCCGAUACUGACGCUGAUGCACGAAAGCGUGGGGAGCAAACAGG